rnacentral:lncRNA from 1 species
AUGUUUCCUUUCCCCACCCAUCUGCCUGCUUUCCCCAUCCGUCUGUCUGUCUGUCUUUCCCAUCCACCCACCUUCCCCACCCCUUUGCUUUUCUCAUCCAUCUGCCUCCCCCACCCAUCUGCCUUCCCCAUCCGUCUUUCCCACCCGCCUGCCUUUUCUGUCUGUCCAUCUGUCUCUUACCCACCUGCCCUCCCCAUCCGUCCAUCUUUCCCAUCCAUCUUUAUUCCCCAACCAUCUUUUCCAUCUGCCUCCCCCCAUCUGUUUGUCUGUCUUCCCUAUCUGUCCAUCUUUCUCAUCUUCCUAUUUUCCCCAUUUCUCUGUCUUUCCCAUUCUCUCUGUCUUUGUCCAUCUGUCUAUCUGUCUUUCCCAUCCAUCUGCCUUUGCCGUCUGUCUGCUUUCUCCACCCAUCCGUCUGUCUUUCCCAUCCACCUCUUUCCCAUCCACGUUUUCCAUCCCUCUGCCUUCUGCAUCCAUCCAUCCAUCUGUCCAUCUUCCCCAUGUCUGCCCUUCCCAUCAAAUUUCCCAUCCCUCUGCCUUCCCAUCCACCCUCUGCCUUUCCCCAUCUGUCCAUCUGUCUUUCCCAUCCAUCUUCCCAUCCAUCCGUCCAUCUUCCCCAUCCGUCUGUCUCCCUUUCCCAUCCAUUUUCCCCAUCCAACUGCUUUCCCCAUCUGUCCGUCUGUCUUUCCCAUCCAUCUCUUUCCCAUCCAUCUUUCCCAUCCCUCUGCCUCCCCCAUCCAUCCAUCCAUCCAUCCAUCCAUCCAUCCAUCCAUCCAUCCAUCCACCUGUGUUCUCCAUCCAUCCAUCUGUCCAUCUUCCAUCCAUCCAUCCAUCCAUCCGUGUUCUCCACCCAUUUGUCUAUUUUCCCCAUCCAUCCCCCUGUCCACCUUCCCCAUCUGUCUGUCUGCGUUUCCCAUCAUAUUUCCCAUCCGUCUGCUUUCCCAUCCAUCCUUCUGUCUUUCCCUACCCACCUGCCUCCCCCAUCCGUCUUUCCCAUCCGUCUGCCUUUUCUGUCUGUCCAUCUGUCUUUCUUACCCACCUGCCCUCCCCAUCCGUCCACCAUCCACCUGUGUUCUCCAUCCAUCCAUCUGUCCAUCUUCCAUCCAUCCAUCCAUCCAUCCGUGUUCUCCACCCAUUUGUCUAUUUUCCCCAUCCAUCCCCCUGUCCACCUUCCCCAUCUGUCUGUCUGCGUUUCCCAUCAUAUUUCCCAUCCGUCUUCUUUCCCAUCCAUCCUUCUGUCUUUCCCUCCCUAGCUGUCCAUCUGUCUUUCCCAUCCAUCUCUUUGCCAUCCAUCCAUUCAUCCAUUCAUCCAUGUUCCCCAUCCAUCCAUCUGUCCAUCUUCCCUAUCCAUCUGUCUGCCUUCCCAUCCAUCCUCUGCCUUUCUCCAUCUGUCCGUCUUUCCCAUCCAUGUUCCCCAUCCAUCCAUCCAUCCGUCCAUCCAUCCAUCCAUCCAUCCGUCCAUCUUCCAUCCAUCUGUCCAUCUUCCCUAUCCAUCUGUCUGCCUUCCCAUCCAUCCUCUGCCUUUCCCUAGCAGUCCAUCUGUCUUUCCCAUCCAUGUUCCCCAUCCAUCCAUCCGUCCGUCCGUCCGUCCGUCCAUCUUCCCCCUCCGUUUGUCUGCCUUUCCCAUCCAUUUUCCCCAUCCAACUACUUUCCCCAUCUGUCCAUCUGUCUUUCCCAUCCUCCCCUUUCCCAUCCAUCUUUCCCAUUCUUCCGCCUUCCCCAUCCAUCCAUCCAUCCAUCCGUCUGCCUUCCCAUCCAUCCUCUGCCUUUCCCCAUCUGUCCAUCUGUCUUUCCCAUCCUCCCCUUUCCCAUCCAUCUUUCCCAUUCUUCCGCCUUCCCCAUCCAUCCAUCCCUCCAUCCAUCCAUCCGUCUGCCUUCCCAUCCAUCCUCUGCCUUUCCCCAUCUGUCCAUCUGUCUUUCCCAUCCUCCCCUUUCCCAUCCAUCUUUCCCAUUCUUCCGCCUUCCCCAUCCAUCCAUCCCUCCAUCCAUCCAUCCGUCUGCCUUCCCAUCCAUCCUCUGCCUUUCCCCAUCUGUCCAUCUGUCUUUCCCACCCAUGUUCUCCAUCCGUCCAUCCGUCCAUCCAUCCGUCCAUCUUCCCCAUCCAUCCGUCUCCCUUUCCCAUCCAUUUUCCCCAUCCAACUGCUUUCCCCAUCUGUCCGUCUGUCUUUCCCAUCCUUCCCUUUCCCAUCCACCUUUCCCAUCCCUCUGCCUUCCCCAUCCAUCCUUCUGUCU